rnacentral:tRNA from 1 species
GAGGGUGUAGCUCAGUGGUGGAGCACGUGCUUAGCAUUCACAAGGUCCUGGGUUCAAUCCUCAAUACCUCCA